rnacentral:rRNA from 1 species
UACGUAGGGGGGCAAGCGUUGUCCGGAUUCAUUGGGCGUAAAGAGCGUGUAGGCGGCCAGGUAGGUCGGUUGUGAAAACUGGAGGCUCAACCUUCAGAGGUCGACCGAAACCAUCUGGCUAGAGUCCGGGAGAGGUGAGUGGAACUGCGAGUGUAGAGGUGAAAUUCGUAGAUAUUCGGAAGAACACCAGUGGCGAAGGCGGCUCACUGGACCGGUAUUGACGCUGAGGCGCGAAAGCCAGGGGGAGCAAACGGG